AUUUGAAGCCUUUGUUUUCUUUUUCACUGUGACAUUGACUUUUUAUUUAUUUUAAUUGUAACUAUUUAUGGCAUAUGGUGAGGUGUUCCCGAGUACUUACUAUUACAGUGCUUUUGGGUGGGGCCCAGGGCUCUCUCAGCUUGUUUGGAGCUGCACGGAACUCUGGCAAAGACUGUCAAGGUCAAAGCAAUGGCACCUUAAUUCAACUUCAGCAUCCUUCAAUGUAAAUGUGACCUUGGAACAGUUACACUCCCAAAGCCAUUUGUUGGCUCAAAUUCUGAUAGGGUCCAACUCAGGCUGAUUGCAGUGUCCUGCUGAACUGUCUCUCCAG
rnacentral:lncRNA from 1 species